rnacentral:snoRNA from 1 species
AACCCAUGGUGAGGGCAUCUUCUCAAUAGAUCCUUGUAUCUCUCUCAUGCAUCAUAAAAAGUUUCUAAAUCUAUCUGCACAAAAGAAGAGAUAUCAUUCCUCAAUUU